UCCGAUAUGGUGUAGUGGCUAACAUUAUCGCCUCUCACGCGAUAGCCCGGGGUUCGAUUCCCCGUGUCGGAA
rfam:Trametes pubescens strain FBCC735 TRAPTBscaffold_1723, whole genome shotgun sequence.